rnacentral:snoRNA from 1 species
CUGCAGUGAUGACUUUCUUAGGACACCUUUGGAUUAACCAUGAAAAGAAAAUGGAAUUCUGAGCAGC